UGCUGGAGCGAAUAGAAGUGAGCAUGCAGGCAUGAGUAGCGAUAAUUAAUGUGAGAAUCAUUAACGCCGUAAACCCAAGGUUUCCUACGCGAUGCUCGUCAUCGUAGGGUUAGUCGGGUCCUAAGUCGAGUCCGAAAGGGGUAGACGAUGGCAAAUUGGUUAAUAUUCCAAUACCAACAUUAGUGUGCGAUGGAAGGACGCUUAGGGCUAAGGGGGCUAGCGGAUGGAAGUGCUAGUCUAAGGUCGUAGGAGGUUAUACAGGCAAAUCCGUAUAACAAUACUCCGAGAACUGAAAGGCUUUUUGAAGUCUUCGGAUGGAUAGAAGAACCCCUGAUGCCAUCGAGCCAAGAAAAGUUUCUAAGUUUAGCUAAUGUUGCCCGUACCGUAAACCGACACAGGUGGGUGGGAUGAGUAUUCUAAGGCGCGUGGAAGAACUCUCUUUAAGGAACUCUGCAAAAUAGCACCGUAUCUUCGGUAUAAGGUGUGGUUCGCUUCGUAUUAGGAUUUACUCCGAAAGCGAAGAAACUUACAACAAAGAGUCCCUCCCGACUGUUUACCAAAAACACAGCACUCUGCUAACUCGUAAGAGGAUGUAUAGGGUGUGACGCCUGCCCGGUGCUCGAAGGUUAAUUGAUGGGGUUAGCAUUAGCGAAGCUCUUGAUCGAAGCCCGAGUAAACGGCGGCCGUAACUAUAACGGUCCUAAGGUAGCGAAAUUCCUUGUCGGUUAAAUACCGACCUGCAUGAAUGGCGUAACGAGAUGGGAGCUGUCUCAAAGAGGGAUCCAGUGAAAUUGUAGUGGAGGUGAAAAUUCCUCCUACCCGCGGCAAGACGGAGAGACCCCGUGGACCUUUACUACAGCUUGACACUGCUACUUGGAUAAGAAUGUGCAGGAUAGGUGGGAGGCUUUGAGUAUAUGACGCCAGUUGUAUAUGAGCCAUUGUUGAGAUACCACUCUUUCUUAUUUGGGUAGCUAACCAGCUUGAGUUAUCCUCAAGUGGGACAAUGUCUGGUGGGUAGUUUGACUGGGGCGGUCGCCUCCCAAAUAAUAACGGAGGCUUACAAAGGUUGGCUCAGAACGGUUGGAAAUCGUUCGUAGAGUAUAAAGGUAUAAGCCAGCUUAACUGCAAGACAUACAAGUCAAGCAGAGACGAAAGUCGGUCUUAGUGAUCCGGUGGUUCUGUGUGGAAGGGCCAUCGCUCAAAGGAUAAAAGGUACCCCGGGGAUAACAGGCUGAUCUCCCCCAAGAGCUCACAUCGACGGGGAGGUUUGGCACCUCGAUGUCGGCUCAUCGCAUCCUGGGGCUGGAGCAGGUCCCAAGGGUAUGGCUGUUCGCCAUUUAAAGCGGUACGCGAGCUGGGUUCAGAACGUCGUGAGACAGUUCGGUCCCUAUCUGCCGUGGGCGUAAGAAGAUUGAAGAGAUUUGACCCUAGUACGAGAGGACCGGGUUGAACAAACCACUGGUGUAGCUGUUGUUCUGCCAAGAGCAUCGCAGCGUAGCUAAGUUUGGAAAGGAUAAACGCUGAAAGCAUCUAAGCGUGAAGCCAACUCUAAGAUGAAUCUUCUCUAAGCUCUCUAGAAGACUACUAGUUUGAUAGGCUGGGUGUGUAAUGGAUGAAAGUCCUUUAGCUGACCAGUACUAAUAGAGCGUUUGGCUUAUCUUUAAUAAAGCAU
rnacentral:rRNA from 1 species